CAUGGUCUAACAGGCCACAGGAAUAAGUAAAAAGAAAGAAGAAAUUGUGAAAAGUGAAUUAAUAACAAGUCUGGUUGGUGACUGUAUAUGCUCAGGAAGGAUGUUAAGUAGGUUAUAAGGUAAGGGGAAAAUAAUGGGAGAAUUAUAACUUGAAAAAGCGAAGGGAGAACAACAUAAUAUCUAAUAGGACAACAUUUAGACAAGGACAAUGCCUAUAACAACCCCUGAUGCAAAUUCGUUGAAGUAGUGAUGCCAGAAUAAAGGAUAAAACAAUACUUUUGGAGUCUACAGGAGUACACUGUGGAACAAUCAAAGAGCAAUUAAUUUCUCCAGUGCAUCUUUUUAAUAUGUAUGCACAAUCAGACAAUGGAGCUAGAUUUAUUCAUGCUGAAGAAUCCAGUCUCAAGGUUACUUCUGUUUCCAUGACUUCCACAUCAAUUUGAAUAUUUGGAGAAGAUAUUUUCUAAUAUUACUAAAAGAACCUUGUUAAUUGUUUAAAAGGUGUCAUUUUAUAUUAACAUUAUUAAUAUAACAUAUUAUUAAUAUAACAUUAAUAAAUAUCAAUUUUCAUUAUCAAAAAUGUUUGAGCAAGUAAAAUUUGUAUCACGACAGAAAAAGACUGCUUCAUCAUCAACUUUCAAUCAUCAACUUUGUUUGUUGUGUACAGGAUAUAAAUACAGCAAUAUAUAAGGUCUGGUGAUUGACUUGGUCAGAUUUUCCCUCAGAUAAAAUCCUCUGUGUUGACAAUGUAUUUUGGUUCAUUGUCUUGCCGCAUGAUGAAGUUCCUAAUUAUUCUGGAUGUAUUUCUCUGUAUAUUAGCAAACAGGAUGUUUUGUAGACUUCUGAAUUCAUUCUGCUACCAUUCAUGAGUUUCAAUAAAGACUAGUUCUGUUCCAGAAACAGCCACGCAAGCCCAAGCCAUGACACUACCUCCAGCAUGCUGAAUUUCUGCUUUUGAAGAGGUCUUUGAAGGGUAGAUUGUGAUACCUUUACCCCUUCCCUGUGGAGGUGCCUUAUUUUAGGCCCCUGUUGGCGUGACGGUGCCACCAACAUACAGAAGAUCUUUAAGGGUCAUGUGAUGAAUGUAAGUGAUGAAGCAGAAAGGACUACUUGCAAGUCAGAUGAAACCGUCCCCUAGUUUGCCAUUUGCCAAUAGUGCAAGAUGGACUGAAAUGAUUUGGGAGACUCAGGUGAGGUGGUUUGAUCUUUACCGAUUUGGGCCCUCUAGGCCUGAUCAGCGAGCUUCUUCUUCCAGGAGAGCUGCACGCCCCUCCCAUUCCUCCUCUUUUUAAAUAUGGUGUUCGCAGCACCCGAGGGUGUUGUGUUCACUCUUCCUUGUUCGCAAGGCAGAUAUGAGACUGUAUAGGACAUAACCCAUGGAAGGAAAUGUUAACAUGGGCACUAUCGAACCCAUGUCCAUGUCCAGCUAGAGGGAAUGGUAGCUUUAGCGCAAAUGAAAAGCUACAAAUGAAUGGACUCCUUGAAACAAGAUUAAGUGCUAUUGGAAGACUAGGUUGUGGCUGGGUGCAGUGAUUCUCUGAUGAUCUUCUGAUUACACAUAAUACGGUUUUUAACUUUCUUCAUUUUGCCUUUAUGAUUCCAUUAUGUAAUUAAUAGACAUCAGACGCUGCUGUUCAAUUUUGGUGCCAGGUACAUUAGAGUUGUGGUGAAAGCUUUGAGGAAGUUUUGUCUCAGUUGACCUUCUGGACAACAGAAGGAAGGUACACAUUUGUUAUUAAUGAAUUCUAAUAAUAUCCCUCUCUGGCUUCAGUCCUAAUGUAUUUUGAUGUAAUUUGGGUAGUGCAACACUGGGACCACACCCUAAGCCAAGCCAUUUUUAAAGCCUAUAUUUUAAUAUAACCUGGAGAAAAUAUGCAGUUUGUUUACUUCCAGCUAUGAACUGUGAGAGCUCAAAGUCAAAAGAGCACUUAGGUUAAAAAGAGGGAGUCAAAAGACCUUAGAGGCUUCUAUAUCAUUUCCCUUUGCUCCUUAGUAUGGUGGAAUGGGUCUACACAGAGACUGAAUUGAUGCUUGGUCACCUGGAUAAUGGAGCUACAGUAUGAUGCAAUGGGAUGAGUAGGGUCUGAAAUGAUAGCAACAUGGCACCGUAAAGGCCAACCACUGAGGAACAUAUUAACAUUCAAAUUUUAAUAUUCUGCCAUGGGCCACAUGACAGUUAAAAACAAGUGAGUGUACAAUAUUGAUGAAAGCUUUCAAGGUUUUCCCCAGUAUCCCAGUGCUGUGUUACUGUAAAUAUUUUAUGAUUCUCAUUUCAGAAACCACCCCAAGCACAUUACCACUGAUAUGAAUUGGGAAAAAGAUGAGCGUGACAGGCAGCAGGACAUACUG